rnacentral:lncRNA from 10 species
AAGAGAUCCCUUGGGGAUGGGAGUUGCUCCAGGACAGAAGAAGCAGUGAGUCAAGGCUUGAGGAUCUGGAGACUAAGCAACUCUCAAGAGAAAGUUCUGCUGGGACCCCUCCCUUGGUCUUCCCUUUCUGCCCCCUCUGAUGCCCCCUUCAUCCAUCCCUGCCUGCCUUCUGGUCUGUCCCUGCAGCGUGAGUGCCAGACAGAGGCCUGUUCUGAUGUCCUGACAUGCUACAAUUAUGCAGAUUUACACAGCAAGCAUAAGACCUUCUCCGCAUGUAUGGCUUCCCCAUUCCCAAGCAGACCAUGAACUUCCUAAGGAAAGUGACCGAAUUCCGCACUUCUCAACCCUCGCGGAGGGGCAGGGAGAUGGUAAGUGACUUUGGUUAGGUGCUACCACCUGUCAGGCCCGAUGGGGGGGGUCCUUCCAUGAGUUUUUUUUAAGAAUUUGGGCUCUUUGAGGUGUGUUAUCCCCAUUUUACACAGGAGAGCAGCCCCGAGGCUCACAGAAAUUAGUUUCCUUGUCCAAGAUCACCCAAGUCAUACGAUUAACCUUAGAAAAGCUUUCUGCCUUUCUUGGGAUGAAUAUUUUGAGCUAGGAAGGAAGUAACCGUUUCCUGUCUUUGUAAUCUGAGAGGAACUAAUUGGCGUUUUCCCAGGGCUUCAGACAGAGGCACAGGUGGGUUUCUGGAGGCUGGGGGUCUUAUUUCUGAAAAGUUAUAAUGUCUUUACAUGCAAACCAGGAGGCCAAGGCAUCCCUCACUGAGGUUUUUCCUGGUUGAGACACAAAAACCUGUGGACCUCUGCAUCCUGACCCUGUAUCUGAGCCAUGACUCACUGGCCAGGGAAGAUCUACUGAGACCAGUACCAAUAAUGGAGCCCAAUUGAUUAGAACCUUGAGAAGCCCUAAGUGGAGUGAGAAACAUUUGACUUCCAAUGGGAAAUCCAGAUGCUUAGGGUAUCAUUCAAAAUACCAUGGUGGGCUCCUCAAAGGCAUGACCUCAGCUCUUGUUUCCUAGCAGGGGAUCAGUGACUGAGCAAGGCCAAUAAUGUCAAUUCCACAUUUGGGCUCUUAUGGAGCUGGCCAUUCCAGAGUCAGGUGUAGCAAAACAAAACCACACCCCUGAAAAUGCAGUAUUCUGAAGAAUGGGAAAUGGAAGGGGCAGUGAGGAGGAAGCCACCAGGACACCCGCAGCCCUGGGUUCGAGCUCCACCUUGCUCUCUGCCCUUCUUUACCCCGCACUGGGCCCUGGGGGUUGACCUGAAUGGACCACAGCCUCUAGGGGAAGGUCCUUCCUUGCCUCCUCCAGCUUCUGGUGGCCCUGGGUGAUCCUUGCCUUGUAGCUCCCUUUUCCCUGGAGCAGCUCCCAGGACUGCUGGCAGGUUCCUGGGGGCUUUGUGGAACAAUAUAAGAAUCCCUGGUAGAGAUCAGUGUUUCUCAGCAUUAGCUAUGGAUCAGAAAUGGCUGCAGAGCUUUGGAAAAAUACAGAGGCUGAAAUCUCACCUGUACCCUGCGGCACAAACCACAAGGGAAAGGCCCCAGUGUCUGCUGGAUUCCAGGUGACUCUGAUGUCAGGCAGGGUUGAGAAACACUGAC